AUGAAGUUCGCUCGUGCCGGAUUCGUUUUGCUCAUCUUUCUGUCCGUCGGACGCUCCGCUCCUGUGACCGUCUGCGAGAGCCUGACCCAAACUCUUCAGAUCAGGAGAGAUGACCUGCUGGGGAAAUGGUUUCUAAUAGCAGAAAGCACCAACCUCAUGGGCUCUCAGCUGCUGAUCAACAUGCUUGCGGACAACGCCUGGGCGAAUAUUGUCGCAGAAAGCAAAGAUGACAGUCUAAAGGCUCACCUCUACUACAAAAUGUUGGGCAGCUGCUUCUCUCUGUCUCCUUCUUACUCCUUGGUAAACAAUUCCAUCACUAUGGAGAGACCAUAUCUUUCUACUGCCGUGCUGCUCAACACCGGCUGCCCCGACUGCCUUGUGUUCUUCACUCAGGUCACCUGGGGGAAAAACUCUCACGCUGGCGCCCAGCUCCUGAGCCGGAGGAGCGAAGUGACCGCGGAUCAGCUCCAAGAGUUUAAACAGCAGGUGGAGUGUCUGAGCCUGCCAUCGCCUGCUGUCCUGGACGCCAAGAAAGGCUUUUGCCCUGACAAGUCUGAGGCCCAUGAGACCAAGAUCACUGACUUAACUGAUGCCAUGAACAACAUGGGAUCUAAUGCCAUGGAGACGCUCAGCAGCUACUUUAACAGUCAAAGCGGAUUGAUGUCACUCAUCGACCUGGUCAAGAGCGGCGUCGCUGCAUUACAAGAACAGUGACGUGGUCAAACCUGGAACGGCACGCUUAAAGAAUGAAGAUGGAAAGCCGCUGAAGUCACAUUUCUGCCAUUGAAAUUAAGAUGACAAUUAAGAAGACAAUGCAAUGAACGAUUCUGUGUAGCAUUGUUGAUAUUCUGUGCUCAGUUCUUAGGCAAUAAUAUCUUUUGAAUUUACUGGCAUUCAGACAUUUCUGUCUCACCGUACCCAUUCCUUCAAGAUACAUGGAUUCGAAUUUCAAAAUACAUACACUGAAACACACAGGACAUCAGGGAUUAUUAUAAAAAAAAGAUUUGUUCAAUCACAGUCCAAGAUCUAUGAAGAACGCUUCUGCACCUGCAUUUGCUGUGCACACACACAAACCUCUGCACAAGGCCUUAUCCCCUGAUUUAGUUAAAAGAGAUUUAAUAAAUGAUCACCAUCAUAAAAAGAGGUAACCCA
rnacentral:lncRNA from 1 species